ensembl:lncRNA
GAAGUUUUGAAGCAAACUUCUGAUGGGAAUAGUAGGAAAAAACCACUUAAUGAUCUUUAAUAUAUGCAUUAAAGACUUCUCUAAUGAGAUACCUUUAGAAGCAUUAGAACGUGAUAAAGAUACGGUGCUGCUGAAAAACAAAUGGAAGCUGGCAGCAGCUGAAGGCCUGUGGUGGUUGACCAAUCUGCUCUGAGCUGUUCCAGGAGCCUCCAGAGGACAAGAGGUUUGACAACUUUAUUUCAAUAUAUACUGGGGGGAUAGAAACUGGAACAGUGUAUGUCCUCUGUGGUAUGGCACAAAAUAGAGAAGUACUUGGUGGAUGCUGCUUAUAGCCCAGGUGUCUCCUAGGUGCAACGUGGCCCCAUACCUAAGCUAUCUCCUACACUUAGUCUCUUACUGAGUUUGGAUAAGCUAAAUAUAUACUCGUCCGUGCUUACAGCUUACAGAAUUCUCUGUGUGAGCUGCCUGACAGAAAAGAAAUAUUUUGAUUUCGAGUCCUAAGGGAGGAGAAUGAGGUACAAAUGCUCCCUGGGGAUGGAGCAGUAAAAAGAAGUGUGCAGAUGCAAGUUUGGCUUGUUUCAAGGAGCUCUUUAAAAAAAAACCAAACAAACAAACAAAAAAACCCCAUAGUUUUCUGUUUUAAGUGGUUCUUUUUGAAGAGAUGGGAGAUCUUGUUGGUGCUCUGAGUGCAAACUCUAGUGCCAGGUUCCACCAACAGGCACUGUAAAUAAGUGGGGCUGCUUGCAGCAAUAGCUGUAUUGGUGGAGUGCAGUGGAAAGUUGGUUUACUUCUCAUCUCUUGUGAAAAGCUUUCAGAUAUGGAGACAAAGAAUAUUGAAGCCAGAUACCUCUCACUUUCCAAGCACAGUACAUACUUUCCCUUCUUUCUUCAAAGGUAGUUCCUCUUGCAAAACUCUGUGGAGAACAAUACAAUAAUCAGCUCUUAACAUCUAAUUAUGCUUUUCCCUUUACAAAAGAAACUCAUAUUCUUAAAUAACACUUCCUGGCAGCAGAGAGCUCUGUGGCUCACUUUGAAAGAAAGGGGAAAACAAUGCAACCCAGCCCAAAUAUCUUCAGAUCAUUAAUGUACAGGGAAUUGGGUGCAGAAUCCUUUCUUAGCUUCAUCACUAGAUGACAAUAAUACUUACCCUUGAGCUCUUGGCUGUGUUCUUGUACUGAAUGCCAACAAUAAUCUAAUCAGUUAACAAUUCUCAUUCUGAUGAUCAUUUUCCUGUGAAUUGUUUCAAUGGUAGAAAAAAAUAUAAAUAAAUGAGUUGCUUGUGCUGGAAAGACGAUGGCUGAUGGAGGGUCCGCUCUUUUGGCUCCUUAUAACAGUUCAGAUUCUUCUGCCUGGUGGAUGAAAUGUCAACCUGCAGGGCUGUAAUCUAAAAGAAAAAGUCCCUUUACAAUGAAAUCUUAUCCCUGUUUUGCCCAGAGGUGUUUCAUAGCCCAGGCAAAGCACUUGAGUUCUGCAACUACUGGACUACAUGACAACUUCCCUUUGUCUGUGCUGCAGGAAUAGGGUUGGGUUUGUUUCUUAAUAUAAAUAAUGUUUGGAUUUUUUUUUUCUCUUGUGGAGUAAAUUUCAGCCCCAAAAUGUAUGAUAUGUGCUGCAUUUGGUGCACUCUCCCUGAGGCAAACCAGGGGAUCUGUAAGUGGUACUAUUUUUCCUAUCAGCCCUGGAGAGUAGUGUGGCAGCCCUGCGUGUUAUUAAUGGAUAAAAUCUGAGCAGCAGCCAACCCCAAGGUGAACCCUAUGCAUUUAAAACAUUUCAUCAGACAGCUAAGUAUUUUUUUUUCCUUCACUACAGCGGAUAUCUCUACUGCCACCACUCAAUAGAUCCCGAUAGAAGAGAGCAAUAGCUAGACUCACUAAUGUGAAAAUUGAUAGUAUGAGCUCUCCAAUGAAAUAUAAACAGCUCUGUGUUUCUUAAGUGUCAAUAUCACGGGGCUGGGCUGAGGAGGUGGUGCGGUGGAUUAACCCUAGAAUUAUCCAGGAGGGGGGAAAAGCUGGUAAAUAGGAAAUAUUUGUCCAAUCAGCCAGGGCUCAUUUCUGAAGUGGAUAAGAUGGGCUGCUGUUGACUCUCAGCUGCUGUCAGAUAGAAACCCAGCUACAGUUUACAGCUCCUGUUAUUGGAGUGUUUCUGGAGGUGGGAGGAAGGUCAGACUGGGCUCUUCUUUCCCCUGGAAGAACUGGGUAAAAGGGAAGACAAAUGGUGUGAGAAUUAGAACUGCAACUUUCAAGAUGCCUUUGCAGAUGCAGCCGCCCUGCACUGAGAGCUGCUCCUGGCAAGCUGCAACACUGCUGUCGGAACAGCAUUUAUUAGAAGAGCAGCUUACUCUGGAGGGAAAGCCUGCAACAUGCAGAAUAAUAAUCUUUGCUUAAGGAGACCUGGGACCUUGCCCACCCACAUAACCGGAUGGUCCCUGCAUGGAGAGGGAGACAGGCUGGAGGAUGUUUUCAGGGGGUCUGGUUACCUAAACUGAUUUACUGUUAUUGUUUCUAUUUACGGAUAAUGAAGGAAUGUGACAGUGCUCCUUCUGUUCUGGCUGUGAGAAACUGAAAGCACCGAAGUCAGUUUGCUUGGUGAGCAGCGGAGUCACCUCCUGGUCCUGAUAGGUGAGCUGGAUGAGACCAGGUGUGUGUUACAAAUAACCCACAGCAACGUUGUUCUUUUGACAAAGAAAUGGUUUCCAUGGAAACUUUUAAAUAUACCCAAGAUUAUGUAAGUUUAUAUCCAAUAUACCUCCAGAACAUUUAUAUUGAUAGAUUUGCAGAAACACUUUUUUUUUUUUUUUAACAAGAAUUCACUCUUUUUUUUUCUUUUAGAGGAAAAAUGAGUAAUUCUGCAUAGUGGCUUCCAUAUUUAAUUAUGGGAUUGUAACAACCGGACUGAAUUUUAAUUAAACCCACCUUUGACUGGGAAGGGUUCUAGGAUGGUAGGAGAAUUAAAGAGAAACAACAUAUACAUAGUGUAAAUCAUAGCAAAGUCAGCAAAAGCCUCCUUUUAAAUAUAUAUUUAUGAAGUGCAUUUCAUUGCAGUGUAGCUGGAGACUUGGACUUGCUGAGUUUCUCUUCUUGAGCUUGUUUACUGAGGUUUUCAAUCUGCUUGUUGAGGCUUAAGGACUCUUCUACUUAUGAGUCAACUCUGGAACCAGAGCACGUGGUGGAGGAUCAUACCUUAGUUGAGGGUACUUAACCCUGAGCAGGCAGGCUGAAGAUUUAGUGAACGAGCCAAAAAGGGCUUCAUAUAGGGUGGCAAAGCAGCCCUUGGGAGCAGGGGGAAAGGGGAGUAUUAGCAGAAGGGAAUCUCAGCCAUUCUGUAGUGAAUAUGCAAGGCGGCCCCUCCCUGCAAGUGCUCUUGAAUCAGCAGGUUUUUCACAGCAGAGGUACCCACAGGUUUGCCUUUAUGCAAACCUAUUCCCUUCCCACCCUUUUCUUGUCCAGGCUUUACAUUUCUCUAUGCAAUAACUCAGAGCUUUGUUGCUGAGGUUUGGACACAGCCGUUGGAACCAAGAGCUAGCUCCAUGCUUCUUCCAGCCCCCAGCUUUCCCCAGUCCUGUUUCCUACACUGCUGUAGGCUCACAGGUGUGCAGAGUUCCCCCAGCCACAGGGCUGGCAAACAGCAGGGUUGAGCAGCUGGGAGUUCAGUGCAUACAGAGCUAAGCAAGCCAUUAAGUGUCCUAAUGAGUGAGAGCUUGCACCACCCAGCUAAUUAAGAUUAGCCUAUGAAGCAAAGUCUAUAGGCGUUGUUUUGAAGCCUGGAGAAGACAAUGUAUCACUCAGAGAUUAAGUGGGAUUGUUCAAGUCAUUCCUUCUUUUGCCUUCAAAAUUAUUUAUUUAAAGAUAAAACAGUUAAAAGGAGCACGUCCUUGCUGGGUUCUUCCCCUUAAUUGGUUAAGAGUUUGUAAUGCCAAAUAAAAAUCUUAAAUCUGUACUUGAAAAAUUUUAUGUUGGAUUUGGGAAAAUUAAGUAAUAACUUAAAAACAAGUUCAGAAUUCAGUUAUAGGAUGGUAUAUAUUGAAG